AGUGAACGCUGGCGGUAGGCCUAACACAUGCAAGUCGAACGGCAGCACAGUAAGAGCUUGCUCUUACGGGUGGCGAGUGGCGGACGGGUGAGGAAUACAUCGGAAUCUACUUUUUCGUGGGGGAUAACGUAGGGAAACUUACGCUAAUACCGCAUACGACCUACGGGUGAAAGCAGGGGAUCUUCGGACCUUGCGCGAAUGAAUGAGCCGAUGUCGGAUUAGCUAGUUGGCGGGGUAAAGGCCCACCAAGGCGACGAUCCGUAGCUGGUCUGAGAGGAUGAUCAGCCACACUGGAACUGAGACACGGUCCAGACUCCUACGGGAGGCAGCAGUGGGGAAUAUUGGACAAUGGGCGCAAGCCUGAUCCAGCCAUACCGCGUGGGUGAAGAAGGCCUCCGGGUUGUAAGGCCCUUUUGUUGGGAAAGAAAAGCAGCAGGUUAAUACCCCGCUGUUCUGACGGUACCCAAAGAAUAAGCACCGGCUAACUUCGUG
rnacentral:rRNA from 1 species